GUAGGUGGCAAGCGUUGUCCGGAAUUAUUGGGCGUAAAGCGCGCGCAGGCGGUUCUUUAAGUCUGAUGUGAAAGCCCACGGCUCAACCGUGGAGGGUCAUUGGAAACUGGAGAACUUGAGUACAGAAGAGGAAAGCGGAAUUCCACGUGUAGCGGUGAAAUGCGUAGAGAUGUGGAGGAACACCAGUGGCGAAGGCGGCUUUCUGGUCUGUAACCGACGCUGAGGCGCGAAAGCGUGGGGAGCAAACAGGGAUUAGAUACCCUGGUAGUCCACGCCGUAAACGAUGAGUGCUAAGUGUUAGGGGGGUUUCCGCCCCCUUAGUGCUGCAGCUAACGCAUUAAGCACUCCGCCUGGGGAGUACGGCCGCAAGGCUG
rnacentral:rRNA from 1 species